rnacentral:rRNA from 1 species
UCGGAUUAGCUAGUUGGUGAGGUAAUGGCUCACCAAGGCGACGAUCCGUAACUGGUCUGAGAGGAUGAUCAGUCACACUGGAACUGAGACACGGUCCAGACUCCUACGGGAGGCAGCAGUGGGGAAUAUUGGACAAUGGGCGAAAGCCUGAUCCAGCCAUGCCGCGUGUGUGAAGAAGGUCUUCGGAUUGUAAAGCACUUUAAGUUGGGAGGAAGGGCAGUGAGCGAAUACCUUACUGUUUUGACGUUACCGACAGAAUAAGCACCGGCUAACUCUGUGCCAGCAGCCGCGGUAAUACAGAGGGUGCAAGCGUUAAUCGGAAUUACUGGGCGUAAAGCGCGCGUAGGUGGUUUGUUAAGUUGAAUGUGAAAGCCCCGGGCUCAACCUGGGAACUGCAUCCAAAACUGGCAAGCUA